AGUUCUCAACCAUAGUGUUUGGUUUGGAUGUGGGGGUAUUUUUGCAGGCUUAAUAUAAAGUCAGCUCCCCUGAAAUGUAUUAGUGGUAUCUGUGCAGAGAUGUCCAUAGGUGUGAUAAAUUAUCUAUGCCUUGGCUCUGCUGCUUGCACUGCUUUCUAAACAACUUUUGACAG
rnacentral:misc_RNA from 1 species